rnacentral:lncRNA from 1 species
AAAUACAGAUAGGGUAAUCUUUACCUGAGCUAGAAAAGCCUUAGUAUUCCAAAAAUGAUAAGUUUUGUUAACAGUUAAUUUAAAAUUAUGACCAUAUCAAUGAUAAUUCAUGACAACGCAGAGGUGCCUUUUUUAUUUUAAAUUUAUUUUCAUACUUUACAAUGAAUUAAAUGAGGAAUUGGAUAUACGUCACCAAGGCAGAAAUCCAAGGCAAAUAUAUUACCAAUGUUAUUUCAACGUUUUGCAUAAGGACAGUCUAUUUUUCAACGUUUUGCAUAAGGACAGUCUAUUUGAAGAUGUGUGUGAGAAGGAUGAUUGCCGUUAUACUUAUUAUUGAUUUCUAAUCACCUAUCAGUGUCAUGAAAGGAUUUUACAAAACAAUGACUGGACACGACGUUAUUGAUGAGUUUAUCCUAAAACACCUAUCUAUAGAUGGACUGGUUUAGUAUGAGCGAACGGGUUAAACUCCGCCCAGUCAAGUGAAACAAAUAGAUUUAUAGUAAUGUCAUACUUAUAAUUAUUUAAAUACCAAAAACGGUUUGUGUAGUCGAAUGCGACUUGUAAUAUGAGGAAACCUUUUGAAGAACUUGUGUAUCUAAUUUCCGCGCACUCGUUUAAUCCAUAGCGGCGUUCGGUCACAAGUUGUCUUAUUUUUGAUAUUCAAAACGGCGAUUAGGUUAUUCUUUUUAU